GGGCCGGUGGUCUAGUGGUUAGGACACCGCGUUCACAUCGCGGUAAUCGCCGGUUCAAAUCCGGCCCGGCCCA
rnacentral:tRNA from 1 species